UGCCAGUGGCCAAUGGUUGGGUACGGGGGGGGGGGUGAGAGACACUUAGAGUUGUCCAGGUAAGAUGCAGAAAGGAAUAGGAGAUCACCAUGAAAAGGAUGGGAUACAGGAGCAACAGUAUAUAAAGCCAACCAGCUACAUAAGAUUUUGGUCUCCACAGUCACAUGGGCCAAUUCCUACUUCCUAGUGAAAUUUUACAGAAAUUUGGAGACUCUAAUAUCUUGCACAGUUCCUAUUAAGAACACUCCUGCUGAAUUUCAGAGAGGCACAGUGGAGAACUUUUCCAGCCAUCGCUCCCUGGUCCCUCCUGCUGACCUGUGUGGAGGCUGAGGCCUGGCUGUUCUUGCUAGGUCAUGCUACUGCUGCUGCUGACCCAACUCUACUGAAUUGGAUUGCUGAUAUUUCCAUGAAGUAUUUGCGACUGAAUCGAACUGCUGCUGCAGACCUGUGAACUUAACUGCUGAUUUUCUGACAACACAGAUGGGAAUUGCUCCAAAGAACCAUUUCUAAACAGGUCCAUUU